UACGGGGGGGGCAAGCGUUGUUCGGAAUUACUGGGCGUAAAGGGCUUGUAGGUGGCCAACUAAGUCAGACGUGAAAUCCCUCGGCUUAACCGGGGAACUGCGUCUGAUACUGGAUGGCUGGAGUGUGGGAGAGGGAUGCGGAAUUCCAGGUGUAGCGGUGAAAUGCGUAGAUAUCUGGAGGAACAUCUGUGGCGAAGGCGACUGCCUGGACCAGCACUGACACUGAGGCACGAAAGCGUGGGGAGCAAACAGG
rnacentral:rRNA from 1 species